rnacentral:lncRNA from 1 species
CUGCCUUAGACAAAGGACGCACGGGAGCUCCACCACACCUAAAACCACGCUUUGAAGGAUCUGCCAAGCUCACUCUUAAUCAUGAGAAAGAAAUUACCCACAUGGAGACAGCAGAAAAUGAGAAAGUAGAGAUCGUGCUGAGAAUAAUUCCAGCGAGUGCCAAGGGGCUAGUUGAGGAAUGGCUUCAUGAGG